AUUGAACGCUGGCGGCAGGCCUAACACAUGCAAGUCGAGCGGAUGAAGGGAGCUUGCUCCUGGAUUCAGCGGCGGACGGGUGAGUAAUGCCUAGGAAUCUGCCUGGUAGUGGGGGAUAACGUCCGGAAACGGGCGCUAAUACCGCAUACGUCCUGAGGGAGAAAGUGGGGGAUCUUCGGACCUCACGCUAUCAGAUGAGCCUAGGUCGGAUUAGCUAGUUGGUGGGGUAAAGGCCUACCAAGGCGACGAUCCGUAACUGGUCUGAGAGGAUGAUCAGUCACACUGGAACUGAGACACGGUCCAGACUCCUACGGGAGGCAGCAGUGGGGAAUAUUGGACAAUGGGCGAAAGCCUGAUCCAGCCGCGCCGCGUGUGUGAAGAAGGUCUUCGGAUUGUAAAGCACUUUAAGUUGGGAGGAAGGGCAGUAAGUUAAUACCUUGCUGUUUUGACGUUACCAACAGAAUAAGCACCGGCUAACUUCGUG
rnacentral:rRNA from 1 species